UUGGAAAAGUGUACAGUGCUGGAUAUCGGGUCUGACUGGGGUACGUGGAGGUUCUGUAAUUGAAAUAUUCUAAUUUAACGGUAAAUAAACCGAAAGUCGCGGGAUACGAAAGAAGUUACCACAGAAUGGAAUGACCACAGAACAAUCAGCGCUAGGACGAGCCUACGCACACGUUUUGUGACGAUACGGAGGAGUGCGCAAGUUCGGAGUUCACAGCAUCUGCAACUUCAGCUACGAUGGACACACAGCGAAGCAUGAAAUCGGCACCAGCGAAGGCGGACGAACGCCUCUGCGCAACGAGGAGAGGCCUCUGCUGAACUGCGCCGUCAAAGCAGCAUUCACGCUGCGGCUGUUCGUCCUGGAGCGGAGCUGAGGGCCGUGAAAACCAUGCACAUGACCAACAACGCACGCUAUAUAUAUUCACUCGUACCGUGCAGAAAAUGGCACGACGUAGGUGCGCCACAUAAUUGCAAUACCUGUACAGGGGCCCGGAGAGGGCAAAAUGUAUUUUGAAAACAAAUUCUGACUCGGCAUAGAGCCGUCCCCUCCAAAGGUUCUUCCAGCACGCCACUUGCUUCAAAUCAGGGUCAAAAAAAAAAAAAAAAAGAACGCGAAUUCCAUCUAUGAUGUGCGUGACAUCAGCGUUGUCUAGUCUUAUAUGCGAUGUAUCUUGGAGGACUGCCGAAUAUACUUAUAGAGCGCUCAAAAUAAAAACGCGAUUUCUUUUAAAAGAAACCGUAUAAAUAAGAACGGCGGACGGCGGAAAACAGACUAAGGUACAAAAUUUCUCGCUAAUUAUUUAUAUACACUAAUUAGCCUUAACUAGCACAUUUGUAUGGCUUUAGAGAAUGAAAAGUUCGUGGUAGUUGUCGAAGUGAUCAGCUAUCAAUUUUCAAAUCGCGCGAGAAGUCAUUCUCCUAGGUCCUACAGCAGAAGAAAUAUUCUUACUUUUUCCGCUGGGAAACUGAAACUGGGCGCUUGUGGGGAAACCACGUGUACAAACCGUACCACGCAAUGCGAGCCACCUUUAUUACUUCGAUGUGCCGAUUACGGCUCAUGAAGUGUCCUUGGCUUCAAUGUGACGUUGGCACUGCAGAAUAUCGGCAAUGACCUAUCAUUGACACCGCUAAUGUAAUUCUUUCCUUAGUGCUAGAAAUGUGCUUAUUUUCAGUGAUUUUGUUUUAACGUUUUAUUUCAAGACGUAGUAGUCGCAACGUAUGGGACACAUAAUGUUCACUGGUGUUUUGAAUGGAUGGAAAGCAACAAUACCUCGAUUUGGUCGAGUUGGUACAUCUUGACGGUGUUCAAAAAACGCUCUAAAGACGAAGACGACAGGAACACAUACGAUAGAACGGGAUCUGAAUUUCCAAUUAUAGCGUUUAUUUCAAACGAUCGUCCAUUUUACGCUUUGCACACCAGGUACUUCAUGCACGCAUCAUCAUAGCGAAGAUUGUAUGCGCCAGAGCCACGGUAGCGUUCCGCCUUCCACUACUGGCACGGGCGCUAAGUCAAUCAGUUCAUACAGAAGAUUGUAUAGUCAAUUCGUUCAUGUGUCUAGAUACCUAUAUUUCUUUCGAGGUACCUAUAUAGACACGUAAAAGCAUUGACUACCGAAUCUUAUGUAUGAGAUGAUUGAGUUAUACAAUCUUCUGUAUGAUGAUGCGUGCAUGUUGUACCUGAUGCGCAUAGCAUAAAAUGGAUGAUAGUUUUAAAUAAAGGCUAGUUCAAAGUUCAGUGCCCGUUCUGUCGUAUGGGUACCUGUCGUCUUCGUCUUUAGCGUGUUUUGUGAACACUGUCAAAAUGUAAAGCAGUAAUAACUGUGGAGGCAGUAUUUGAGAACGUUUAUGUGAAACUUCAAAGAAGCACAUCUAGGAACAUCACCGAAAAGAAUAGGUACUGAGAGUAAAAGAAAAUUCCGAAAUAUAAACAAUAUAUGCUGUUAGAUAUGGUACCUUUUCCUGAGCCUACUUCGAGUUCACCAGACCACAUCGAAUCGCGUCGCAGCUAAUUAAGGAGCGCAGAAGCACAUCUAUCCCGUUCCCGAGGCGCGGCACGUGCAAACGAGUUGGCGUCCCACACCUCGUGCGCCGCAGGUGGAGCUAUUCACUGCUUGACUCUUCCCGAAAGUCAGAAUGGCAAUGCGGCCUGUGGGGUGGGCAACACAGCAACAAGGAAGGUCAAGCGGAAAGUCAGAGAGGCUGAAUUAAUCUCAUGGGUGGCGGCAUUGGAAAAGAAACCUGCCAUGAGUAACUACUUAAGAGGAAAAAACGAAAUCAGGAAAGAAACCAUUUAUGAUAACUCAAAGGGAAGCUCAUUACUUUUCGAAGCGAGAUCGGGAUGCCUUAGAACACGCACCUAUAAAGCGAGAUAUAAGAAGGAAGAAGAAGCACGUGCUUGCUGCGGUAAAGCUAGGGAAACGACGAGCAUAUUUUAUUAGAAUGUGAAGACGUCUAUCCAGCGGUCGAUUUAGGCACCACUGGCCUCCUUGAAGCCCUUGGGUUCAGCGGGAGCAGUGGUAAAGCAAACAGGUCCGCAAUAGACAUUAGUAAGAGGCGAUUGGAGGAUUGGUGGAAGAAAAGUAGGGAAACGACAAAGGACGGAGACGUACAAAAACACAAUUCGCAAUAGGGGAUCAGACAGUUUGGACGCGGUAGUUCAUAGUGUUUUUUUUUUUUUUUUUUUUCUUUCAUUGGUUAACCUAGGUAGGAUAUUAGGCAGCAUAGUAGCAAGAGCUUGGUGGCGCAACCCACCGCCCCGUUCCAAAGGGGACGCUCAUAACAUCCAUCCAUCCAUCCAUCCAUCCAUCCGGCAAUACCGCAGAGAGAAGUAAGCGCUCGGACAAUUGGGGUCCAAGGAGCGACCCUGUGCGCCGGGUGUGACACAAUCGCACCGGCGCCUACCAUUGGCCGAAAAUGACGACACCUGAGCGGGCUCGCCGAUUGGCCGAACGUGACGUGACUCUAUGACUGUUAAUUUCUUUGUGCUCUCAAUGUAAAUAAACCUCCAGUUUUC